rnacentral:misc_RNA from 1 species
AACAUACCUAAAACGUUGCUUCGGCGGGAACAGACGGCCCCGUAAGACGGGCCGCCCCCGCCAGAGGACCCCUAACUCUGUUGCUAUAUGUAUCUUCUGAGUAAACAAGCAAAUAAAUUAAAACUUUCAACAACGGAUCUCUUGGCUCUGGCAUCGAUGAAGAACGCAGCGAAAUGCGAUAAGUAAUGUGAAUUGCAGAAUUCAGUGAAUCAUCGAAUCUUUGAACGCACAUUGCGCCCGCCAGUAUUCUGGCGGGCAUGCCUGUUCGAGCGUCAUUACAACCCUCAGGCCCCCGGGCCUGGCGUUGGGGAUCGGCGAGGCGCCCCCCGCGGGCACGCGCCGUCCCCCAAAUACAGUGGCGGUCCCGCCGCAGCUUCCAUUGCGUAGUAGCUAACACCUCGCAACUGGAGAGCGGCGCGGCCAUGCCGUAAAACACCCAACUUCUGAA